GGCGCUAUAGUGUAGUGGUUAUCACUUGGGAUUCUGAAGCGUGGAUGAAACGAUUCGUAAUAAUCAGUACAGAAUAGCAAUUUCCCAAAACCCAGGUUCGAGCCCUGGUAGCGCCU